CCGAAGCUGCGGAUAUAACUAAUGUUAUAUGGUAGGAGAGCGUUCUAACAUCGUAGAAGCCGAGCUGUAAGGCGAGGUGGAGAGGUUAGAAGUGAGAAUGCCGGUGUGAGUAGCGAAAGACGGGUGAGAAUCCCGUCCACCGAUUGACUAAGGUUUCCAGAGGAAGGCUCGUCCGCUCUGGGUUAGUCGGGUCCUAAGCUGAGGCCGACAGGCGUAGGCGAUGGAUAACAGGUUGAUAUUCCUGUACCACCUAGUAUCGUUUUAAUCGAUGGGGGGACGCAGUAGGAUAGGCGAAGCGUGCUGUUGGAGUGCACGUCCAAGCAGUAAGGCUGAGUGUUAGGCAAAUCCGGCACUCAUAAGGCUGAGCUGUGAUGGGGAGAGGAAAUUGUUUCCUCGAGUCGUUGAUUUCACACUGCCGAGAAAAGCCUCUAGAUAGAUAACAGGUGCCCGUACCGCAAACCGACACAGGUAG
rnacentral:rRNA from 1 species